rnacentral:sRNA from 1 species
UGCCUGCCUGCAGAAGACAGUCUCCAGCUGCUGCCUGGGGAACAAGGUGGAGAACUCGCAGCUCCUUCUCCAGCACCAGGUCUGCCUAGAUGCUGCCCUGCUUCCCACUGUGAUGAUAAAGGACUAAAACUUCUGAAGCUGAUGGAAUACGGCUCCUCCUCCACACAGCCCUACUCUCAUGAUCUUCCACCACACCACAGACCCAUAGUCAUAUGACCAGGCAACCAUGGACUCAAAUCUGAGGAACUUCGAUAUUCCCUCCUUUUAAGUUGAUUGUGCUGGGUGUUUUGUCACAGCGAUGAAAAGAUGACUGUUAUACAAUUGAUAAGAAGGACCAAAAUGAAACUCUUUUGUAAAGGAAGAGAAAGAGAAACUUGACUUUUUCAGACCUACAAUUUGCCAUCCCAUGCACUCCCUGAGGAAUCCAUACUUGUUAACAGAUGUGAUAAAGUCUAGAAAAAAACAAAGCAAAACAAAACAAACAGCAACCCAAAUGCUGGCUUGCCUUUCUCUUAAAAAGGAAACAUCUGAAUUUUUACUUCAUGUUUAGCAGUCGAAAAUUUAUUCAUCCAUUCAUUUAGCGGAGUAUCAACUAUGCACCAAGCUAUAGAAGACAAAGCA